UACUCUGCUUGCCAAACCAGAAAGCAAGUAAAAGAGCAAAUACCCAUAAUCUGUUUCAACUUUCUCUCUCUCUGAUGGUGAUACCCAUUUACUCUUUCUGGUUUUAUUUUAGUCGUAGUGUUGCUGCCUCUUCAAUCUGGCUGCUCUGACUGGGUUCAUUUGGCCGUGAUUCCAAACUUGGGAGUAAAUGACAAAACAAAAGGCUUUUGUUGUGCCACCAAAACCCGGAAAUUCAACAUCAAAUUUCUCUUGAAGUUCUCCGAGGAUCAAUAUCCAUGAAUUUAUUUUGCUGGCCUCAAUGUUAUUCUGUCAUGGGCCAAGGAAGAGUCACAACACCUAGUGUUGUGGGAUUCUUGGUGUCUUGAAAAUGCACAUCAAGAUUACCUGAAGAAGGCUUAUAAAGGAACUGCUAUAAUGAGUCAUCCAACAAAUGUGAAGAUCCUGAUAAGAAAGGUUCCUGCAAUCGUAUCUUUUUGUUGAAUAUUAUGCUAUAGGCUAUGCGUCACUUAUUCUUCCACGUAAAAACUUCUGGAUAUGGUAGUAUCAUGUGUGUAUUAAUGCAUUGUUUUUUAUGUAUAAGUCGCUACAGUCACCUACUUUGAAUGCUUAAACUAGUUGAUGUUGAGCAGUUUAGAGUGCCUGUAUGGCAAUUUACCCGAAGUAUGGAUAGGCCUAUAGCCAAAUACCAAAAUAUAAAUUGGUAGGCAUUUCUGGGAUCACAAGAACAGAUAAAAGAGGAAGGUCCUUGUUUUGUUAACUGGCGUGUCAAGUUAAUGAAGCAGGACAACCGAAUUAUUGUAGAGAGGAUCAGCCUUCCAGACUAUCAAGAUAUCUUAUAUUGGUGGGAUUUUGCUGUCUGUCCAUAACUAUAUUUGGUUGAUAGAAUUUUUUUUUCCCAGUAGAAUCUAUCAGUUUUGAGAUCAGAUUUCUGGUUAGCUGAAACUUCAUACAUUUACUGUCGCUAUUACAUGCAUCGUGAAAGCUUAUUUGGUGGAGGUAUUGCUGUUUUUAAAAGUCAAAAGUGAGACCUAAGAUAUAUGAUGCAAUCACCCUUUUCUUCUAAAAAAUUAUGUUGCAUUUUCAUUUCCUUUCUUGAAAUGGUCGUGGGACCAUCAUACACAUUUCUCUUUACCUCAAGUUUGCUCUCUUCUUUGCCCAACUAAAAUAUGCCUACUGGAUUGGAUGGAGUUUUAUUUGUCACUUGUAAAAGAUUUUAUGAAAUGUUGAAUAUGAUAUUUAGCUCCUGGGAAUAUUAAUGUAAAUAAUCUGUUGAUUGUAGGAGCAUCCAUACUUGAACAGGCCCAUGGUACAAAUUGUGUCCAUGCGGUACUAGCGAAUGGAUGAAGUUGCUUUUCCUCAGCAAUGCUGCCUCAGAUAAACAUGGAGAAUCGGUUGAACAAUAUCUAAACUCUUGGUUCUCAGUUGUUGGGCAGGUAGUUGGUCUUAGAAUCCCAUUUGAAAUGUUGAACGAUAGUAAUCAAUCUAUCUUCAGUGGAAGAAGUUGAAUAUAUAUAUACUGGGAUAUGGGGAAUCUGAUAAAACCCAAGGCUCUACAAUGAAAAUGCCCAAAAGAAUAACACAGUUUAGGUAUGCUGGAAAUGUCUAAAUAUGGAGAUAAAUGAAACAAACAGAUCAUCAGUGGCUAUUUCUCCCAAGUAAUUCCGCGGUACUAAGUUACUAACUAUUGUUUUCUU